GCUCCUCUCAAAAACCUCUAAAGUCCUUACUCCAUUUGCCACAGUGCCUAAAGCACACAAUCAAAAAACUAACAUGUGUCCAAUAACAAGGUGCCAAAUAUCCCGACUCCACCCUGGCUCCACCCCUGCCUUACCCUAUAUAACCUGUGCAUUUCCUGAGUAAAGCAGAAGUGUUCCAGAAACUUCCCCAGAGUCUGUCUGGUGAUUCCGCACCUUGCCCUCCCAGUCCGGGCCCCCUGAACCUUGUUCCACUAGCGGGCUGGUGGAUGAAAACAAUUGGUGUCCGAACAGGAGACUCGCGUAUACUGGGUAAAUGUUGAAGUUUCAGUAAGAAAGAUUUUGAAAUUUUUGCCCCUAUUGGUGUCAUCGUGGCAGUUAUUUCCACCACAACAGCAACAGUCACCUCACAAAAGCAAGUGGCGACAGCAGAAACGGUCAACCAGCAAACAAAAAACAUCACCCACGCCUUCAAAAAGACUGUCCUGCUAUGUCAAGAUGUCCACACAGCAGUACUCAAUUCACAAAUCCAAUUAAACUUGGUUUGGGAGGAAUUAACACCCAG
rnacentral:lncRNA from 1 species